CGGCCUGGCGGGCCCCAGGGGCGGCUGUUUCGUUAGUGACAAGCUCCCCAAAGCCGUCCAGAGGACUGUGGGUGCUCUCGGCACCCUGUCUCGUGAGGGCCUGUUGCUAGCGGAACCCUGGCUUUGUGCAGAGGCCUCAGAGGAGAGGAGACAGAGUCAGAGUGAAACAACCCUGACGGGGCCGGAAGCAACCAGGCCUCUUAUCACAGGCCCCAGAGUGGCCCUCGUGGUGGGUCUGGGAUCCGAGAGUAGGGGCACAGCCUUCCUUUGAAGGUGAGGCCAUGCAGGGUGGGAGGCGGGGCCUCACCUGGAAGGAGCCUGCUUCCCUCUGAAUACCACGUCCCUCCGCUUCCCCACACUGGGGUCCAGGCGGGCCCCCUUUCCUCGCACAACCCAGAAUGUGCGGCCUGAUCGACCAGAGAGGGCCAGGGAGAGCUUCGAGUGAAGGGUAGUGCUGCAGCCCCGCCACGAAGGCAGAUGGCCCCGUUCCACCGGUGGAAAACCGAGUCAGGGAUUCAAGGACUAGGGUAAGGCCGACAGCUUGCAGGGGUGGGCUCAGUCCCCCUCCUCUGUGCGCCCUGUCCCUUUGGGGGCACCGAAUGCAACACUGCGCCUGUGCUGCGAAAUCCCCAUGCUGUCCACGCGGGUGUGGCGUGGGGUCAGCUGGCCGUCCCCCUCCGGGACAACGCAGGUGUGGCCGGCUGUGCAAACCUCAGCCUUUCCAGAGCGAGGAGCUGAAGGCCCCUCUUGUUCCCUGACACACCAGAAAUUGGCUCCGGAACCAAGGUGCCCGUCUGACUUGUGCAGCUCUGGGACCGUCCCCUGAGCGCUGUCUGCUGUCCUGCAGUCUGCCGGGGACCGCCGGAAGUGUAUGACCUGAUCCCAGCUUCCAGGAACUUCGGUCCCAGAGAUUACUCUGAACCCGUUUUGUCUUCUUGAAAAAUGGAGGCUAGUUCCGAGAAGUUCCAGAAAGCCGUUUGCAUCGUUCCAACGCUGCACCUCCUGAAAUGCCCGCCUUUCCCUGGAAGUGGAGUCAGGCCGGAUCCUAGGCAAAGAAAUGAAUUUCUAACCACGCAAGCCCUUUCCCUGUCACAAGAUCUUGGAUGACAACCCGGCAGGGAAGCCCGAGGGCUGUUGUCAGGAGCGGCGGCCAAGCCUCGGAAUGACACAAUCGUACCAGAACCCUGAGCAGUCUGAGGAAUUAAAAAAAAAAAAAAA